GACGAACGCUGGCGGCGUGCUUAACACAUGCAAGUCGAACGGAAAGGCCCUGCUUUUGUGGGGUGCUCGAGUGGCGAACGGGUGAGUAACACGUGAGUAACCUGCCCUGGACUUUGGGAUAACUUCAGGAAACUGGGGCUAAUACCGGAUAGGAGCUCCUGCUGCAUGGUGGGGGUUGGCAAGUUUCGGCGGUUGGGGAGGGACUCGCGGCUUAUCAGCUUGUCGGUGGGGUAGUGGCUUACCAAGGCGUUGACGGGUAGCCGGCCUAAGAUGGUGACCGGCUACGUCGGGACUGGAGGACGGCCCAGCCUCCCACCGGAGCCAGCACUGGGGAGUAUUGCACAAGGCGCCGCAGCCAGAGGCCGCACCUCCGCGUGCGGGAUGACUGCCUCCGGUCUGUAGUCCGCGUGCUCCCGUGACUAGACCUUAGUGACGGUAAUCUGUAAAGAAUCAGCGCCUAACCACUUG
rnacentral:rRNA from 1 species